rnacentral:rRNA from 1 species
GACGAACCGUGCGAACGUUGUUCGGAAUCACUGGGCUUAAAGCGUGUGUAGGCGGAUCGUUAAGUGCCUUGUGAAAUCCCACGGCUCAACCGUGGAACUGCUUGGCAUACUGGCGGUCUUGAGCAACCUAGGGGCGAGCGGAACAAAUGGUGGAGCGGUGAAAUGCGUUGAUAUCUACAGGAACUCCGGUGGCGAAAGCGGCGUGCUGGACCUUUUCUGACGCGUGAGGCGACGAAAGCUAGGGGAGCAAAGCGGG